rnacentral:rRNA from 1 species
GACGAACGCUGGCGGCGUGCUUAACACAUGCAAGUCGAACGGAAAGGCCCUGCUUGCAGGGUACUCGAGUGGCGAACGGGUGAGUAACACGUGGGUGAUCUGCCCUGUACUUCGGGAUAAGCCUGGGAAAAUGGGUCUAAUACCGGAUAGGAGCCAUUUUUAGUGUGAUGGUUGGAAAGAUUUUUCGGUGUAGGAUGAGCUCGCGGCCUAUCAGCUUGUUGGUGGGGUAAUGGCCUACCAAGGCGGCGACGGGUUGCCGGCCUGAGGGGGUGGACGGCCACAUUGGGACUUAGAGAAGGCCCCGACGCCGACGGGGGGCAGCAGGGGGGAAUAUUGCACAAGGGGCGCAAGGCGGAUGCAGCAACGCCGCGGGGUGGAUGGCGGCCUUCGGGUUGUAAACUCCUUUCGGUAUGGACGAAGCUUUUUGUGACGGUACCUAGAUAAGAAGCACCGGCUAACUACGUG